GCAAUUAUCCAUGAACAUUAUGAGGGUCUGAAGAAAGCCAUUUUCACUGAACCAGACCCAAAUCUGAAUAUUGUACAACAAAACCUGGUUCCCAAACUAAACAGUGCCGUCUUCGCUUAUUCCAACUGGCAGAUGAAUCAUGCCACAUCUGAGCAGCAGGGUGCUGGAGAGGGACCUUCAAAUCAAGAAAGGUCCAGCAGGGCUCAGCUGUUAGCGUUGAUCAAAUCCAAAUCAUAUGGACAAGUUAUAGAGGCUUCCAAGUCCCGACCAUAGACUGUAUAAAAAGGUCCCGACAUCACAGACAGACAGAGUUGGUCCCAGCAGCUGGACCAGACAUUUCACUAAAGGUGUCAUCAAAAAAGAAAUGAUACCCAUCACUUAAAAUGCGCACUCAAUUAUGCUUCAAAACUCAGGGAAAUGAGAGUGAGGGCUCAAAUUUGACCCGGCUGUGAUGUUUGAGUGCAGUGAAAGAAGAGAAGGAACCAG